UACAGAGGUCCCAAGCGUUGUUCGGAUUCACUGGGCGUAAAGGGUGCGUAGGUGGUCGGGUAAGUCUGAUGUGAAAUCUCUGGGCUCAACCCAGAAAUGGCAUUGGAUACUAUUCGGCUAGAGGAGUGGAGGGGGGACUGGAAUACUUGGUGUAGCAGUGAAAUGCGUAGAUAUCAAGUGGAACACCAGUGGCGAAGGCGAGUCCCUGGACACUUCCUGACACUGAGGCACGAAAGCGUGGGGAGCGAACAGG
rnacentral:rRNA from 1 species